rnacentral:lncRNA from 1 species
GAAAAACAGAAAGUGAGAAGAAGGGAACCAACUUUUAUUUUUCACCUUAAGCAGCCUCCAAGGUAAUGAAGAUCAUCCACACUGUUCUGCAUCCUCUCACAACCCCCUGUGGGAAUCAGCACUAACUCCAAGGCUAAAGGUAGCUGUUAACUUCUCUGAAUGUUACCUUCAGGAAAUUAUGUUUCUCUAGUGGGAUUACUAAUUGCAUGCUUCUCCUACAAGCACAAGUAAAGGAACUUUGUGUAUUUUCUUGAUUCCAAAUUCUAAUAAUGCCCAUUAAAACUCUGCUAAGAUACUGAUUACAGUAACAACUCCUCCCCAAACUCUGCCUUACCCAAGGUUUUCUUUUAAAACACACUAUUUCAG